AUGCUAUGCUUGUCACAAGGGGUUAUUGGGGGGGCGGGUUUUAAAAGGAAGCAAAGUAGUGGAGUCUGCAGCCGAUUUCACAACAGCUACUAUGGGUUUUUUUCAUUGCUCAGAUCAAUGCUGUGGGCAGAAUCAGAAUUUCUAGGCCAUUGGCUUUGCUUUCAAAUGGGGAGGAUACAGCAUUCUGUGUAACCAUAGUCAUUAGAAAGCUCUUUGUGUCACUGAUCACUGGAUGUGGGGAAAACGCCUGCCAUCUGUAAACAGAGUGUGAAUGAUUCCCUAGGCUGAGUUCAUUCAAUUAACAGCCAGAUGACUCCAUAAGCUCCUGUAAGUAACAAAGACUUUGCUUCUGUGUUUUUAUUUGCACUUAAAACAUGUAAGUUAAUUGAAUGCCUGACUGAAAGAAACGCUUCAGAUUUUCCUUUUUUUUCCUUAAGAGAUUUCUCACACUAUCAAGGGAAGUUUCAGCAGAAAAGAAAGAACAUUUAGCCUGUCUGAUUUCCUCUCAUUAAAGAAGUGUCUUAGGAAGGUAAUACAAAGAAUCCAGCAAAUGGAGCAGAGAUGGGGAGUGGGGCAACGGCUUGUUCAGUGUAACACAGCGGCUCUUCACUUUUUUUUAAUCACAGACUAUAUUCUGCCACCGCUUACCACCAAGACUUAGCUCAAAAUUUUAAACCGUAAAGUGCAUCAAAUAUUUAUUUGAGGUUUCUCAUGAAGGGUCGACAGAUAUUCUUUGCUAUAACGGCACCACAUUUUAAGAUGACUGGAAGAAACUUCAUUUUGCUUUGAGAAGGAUGCACUCUCAUCAACAGCAUCCGUUUUUUUACACUUCACAUUCAGCCAGCAAUCCAUUCUAUUGUCCACUGUAUUGUCACAAAAUUCACUAUGAUAAUACAGUAUUAAAAAGUGACUUUACCUGACAGUAACCAAACGGUUUUAUUAGCAAAAAUUGAAGAAGUAACACAAUCAUAAACUUCAUCCAGGCAUUCAUACUGACACUGACUGACUCCAACUCUCUCUUCCUGCGGCUUCUGACUAUUUGCGCAGUAACAAGAAAAGUCAUAUGCUGUCUCUUAACCGCUCAACAUCAUUUACUUGCAUGUUCUCACUGUGUGCACAAAUACUGAACAGUUAUUUGCUACCAAACAGUUAUUUUCAUAACUGAUUUUUACUUUUGUUUGUUUUUAAUGGAAGUGCCAGAAAAGUCACAUUUUACACAAACGAGAAAUUAAGAUUUUGUUCUUUCUUUCUUUCUUUCUUUCUUUCUUUCUUUCUUUCUUUCUUUCUUUCUUUCUUUCUUUCUUUCUUUCUGUUUUAACUGCAAAAGAUCAUACCAUUUCUUCAAGGCUUUGUGGACCCCCUGUGAGGACAUCACAGCCCCUCAGGGGUCUGCGGACCACAACUUAAGAACCUAUGGUAUAAUGCGUAAGGCCAGGGACGACCAUAACCUAUAGAGAACUACUGUCUGCCAUCGCAAAACUCACCAGCAAAGAGAUUCAAAUCUACAAAUCUUAUCCUCUUCAUACUUGGUAUUUCAAGUUCAAAAUUUAAUUCACAUGCUACAAUUUCAACAAAAUACUGUUGAAUUUAAAACUAUUGUUACAGAUAGGUGUGCCCUUUACUGCAACUUUCCCUCCCAACACAGAGCAUUCUGCAUUCACUGAACAUACUCAGCUUUCCUCGGCUGUUGGGUCCUGUUUGUAUGUUGUCUAACCUAUGGUGUAGAAAUGCUAGGACACACAGGGCCAAAGCCAUGGCACUUUCUGGCUGAAAUCCUGUUUGUAUAACUAUCACCAUGCCAUGUCAUCAGCGAGAGCAGUUUUUUCAGAAAUUAAACACUUCCUCUUUCUGUUCUGUGGCUGCUAUGUAAUUCUUUUAUUGUUUGAAAGCUGUGGGCGCAACUGGAAGGGAGGAGGAAGUCUUUGAUAAUCAAAAAUCACUGCCACUAAAAUAAAACGUCUUCAACCACUAUCA
rnacentral:lncRNA from 1 species